rnacentral:rRNA from 1 species
AUGUCCCAAGUGAACUGGCUUAUUGCGAUGAUUUGGUCGAUUCAGACUUCUCUUUAUUUUGAAUGGCUUUCACCUUUGGGCAAUUCAAUUGAUGGAAGGUGUUGUUUCAAUGAUAUUGAAGCUUUUUUAGGGAAUGGCGUUCUCGAUGGCCGGGAGGGACCGGCUCGGCCUCCAUGGCCUGCUCCCGCCCAGUGUCGUUUCCUUGCAGCAGCAGAUGACCGAUUCCCUGCCGGUUCGGUUCCUUCCUUGCUUACCACUCAACUGACAGCCAUCAUUGGUAUCGUGCUCUGGCUCCCUAUUUCUCAUUGCUAA